rnacentral:rRNA from 1 species
AGAACGAACGCUGGCGGCAUGCCUAAUACAUGCAAGCCGAACGAAGGCUUCGGCCUUAGUGGCGCACGGGUGCGUAACGCGUGGGAAUCUGCCCCUUGGUUCGGAAUAACAGUUGGAAACGACUGCUAAUACCGGAUGAUGACGAAAGUCCAAAGAUUUAUCGCCAAGGGAUGAGCCCGCGUAGGAUUAGCUAGUUGGUGAGGUAAAGGCUCACCAAGGCGACGAUCCUUAGCUGGUCUGAGAGGAUGAUCAGCCACACUGGGACUGAGACACGGCCCAGACUCCUACGGGAGGCAGCAGUAGGGAAUAUUGGACAAUGGGCGAAAGCCUGAUCCAGCAAUGCCGCGUGAGUGAUGAAGGCCUUAGGUUGUAAAGCUCUUUUACCCGAGAUGAUAAUGACAGUAUCGGAGAAUAAGCCCCGGCUAACUCCGUGCCAGCAGCCGC